rnacentral:rRNA from 1 species
UACAGAGGGGGCGAGCGUUGUUCGGAAUUACUGGGCGUAAAGGGCGCGUAGGCGGCCAACUAAGUCAGACGUGAAAUCCCUCGGCUCAACCGGGGAACUGCGUCUGAUACUGGAUGGCUUGAAUUCGGGAGAGGGAUGCGGAAUUCCAGGUGUAGCGGUGAAAUGCGUAGAUAUCUGGAGGAACACCGGUGGCGAAGGCGGCAUCCUGGACCGAGAUUGACGCUGAUGCGCGGAAGCCAGGGGAGCAAACGGG